GAUGAACGCUGGCGGCGUGCUUAAUACAUGCAAGUCGAACGGAGUACUUAAGAGAAGUUUUCGGAUGGAUCUUUUGUACUUAGUGGCGGACGGGUGAGUAACGCGUGGGUAACCUGCCGUAUGCAGGGGGACAACAGCCGGAAACAGCUGCUAAUACCGCAUAAGCCGGCAGCACCGCAUGGUGCAGUCGGAAAAGAUUUAUCGGCAUACGAUGGACCCGCGUCUGAUUAGCUUGUUGGCGGGGUAACGGCCCACCAAGGCGACGAUCAGUAGCCGAACUGAGAGGUUGAUCGGCCACAUUGGGACUGAGACACGGCCCAGACUCC
rnacentral:rRNA from 1 species